CCUACGGGUGGCUGCAGUGAGGAAUAUUGGUCAAUGGGCGCAAGCCUGAACCAGCCAAGUCGCGUGCAGGAUGACGGUCCUAUGGGUUGUAAACUUCUUUUGUCCGGGGGUAAAAUGCGCCACGCGUGACGUUCUGUGGGUACCCCAUGAAUAAGCAUCGGCUAACUCCGUGCCAGCAGCCGCGGUAAUCCGGAGGGUCCGGGCGUUAUCCGGAUUUAUUGGGUUUAAAGGGGGCGCAGGCGGACGUUCAAGUCAGCGGUAAAAUUGCGGGGUCCAACCUGGGCGAGCCGGUGAAACUGGCUUGCUUGAGUGAGAGAGAAGUAUGCGGAAUGCGUGGUGUAGCGGUGAAAUGCUUAGAUAUCACGAAGAACUCCGAUUGCGAAGGCAGCAUACCGGAGCGCAACUGACGCUGAUGCACGAAGGUGUGGGUAUCGAACAGGAUUAGAUACCCGGGUAGUC
rnacentral:rRNA from 1 species